rnacentral:lncRNA from 1 species
GUUAAGUGGCGCAGGGGAGGGGACCGUGACCCGACACUAUAUUAUAACCGUAGAAGCGAGACUGAUGGGUCAUUAUCUUGCAUUUAUAACGUCGCUUUUAACUAGAGCGGGGCUACUAUUUUUACUCUUUCCAGCUAAACACCAUACUACUUGUAGCAUUUACUUGUUAAGUUGCCAACUUGCUUCAUCCGCUGUCUUCUUUCCUGCCUUCCCUCCCCUUCCAAGUACCACUGUCCAACACUGACAGUGGCGGAACCAGAGGGGGGCUAGGGGAUGCUAGAGCCCCCCCUAACCUCGAAAAAACAGUGUUAAUUUUUUUCCCAGCCCCCGCUGAAUUAUUCAUGUCAAUAUAAUUUAGGGCACUUAGAUCGAGUUCAAGAGAUGUCUUAUAAC